ACGCUCGACACCUACGGGAGCAGCAGUGAGGAAUAUUGGUCAAUGGGCGCUAGCCUGAACCAGCCAAGUAGCGUGAAGGAUGAAGGCUCUAUGGGUCGUAAACUUCUUUUAUAUAAGAAUAAAGUGCAUAUGUAUACUGUUUUGUAUGUAUUAUAUGAAUAAGGAUCGGCUAACUCCGUGCAGCAGCCGCGGUAAUCUGAGCGGGCUGGCAAGGC
rnacentral:rRNA from 1 species